UACGUAGGGGGCAAGCGUUUGUCCGGAUUUAUUGGGCGUAAAGAGCUCGUAGGCGGCUUGUUACGUCGUUCGUGAAAACUUGGGGCUCAACCCCAAGCUUGCGGUCGAUACGGGCAGGCUAGAGUGAUGUAGGGGAGACUGGAAUUCCUGGUGUAGCGGUGAAAUGCGCAGAUAUCAGGAGGAACACCGAUGGCGAAGGCAGGUCUCUGGGCAUUAACUGACGCUGAGGAGCGAAAGCAUGGGGAGCGAACAGG
rnacentral:rRNA from 1 species